UACGUAGGGGGCAAGCGUUGUUCGGAAUUACUGGGCGUAAAGGGCGCGUAGGCGGCUGACAAAGUCGGGAGUGAAAGCCCGGGGCUCAACCCCGGAAUGUCUUUCGAUACUGGUCAGCUAGAGUGCGGAAGAGGCAACUGGAAUUCCCAGUGUAGCGGUGAAAUGCGUAGAUAUUGGGAAGAACACCUGAGGCGAAGGCGGGUUGCUGGGCCGACACUGACGCUGAGGCGCGAAAGCCAGGGGAGCGAACGGG
rnacentral:rRNA from 1 species